GAGGGUGUAGCUCGGUGGUAGAGUGCUUACCUGGCAUGUGUGAGAACCUGGGUUCAAGCCCUAGCACUUCA
rnacentral:tRNA from 1 species